rnacentral:sRNA from 1 species
UUUUGCUCCAGAUAAAAGCGACAGCCCCGAGAAUUGGAACUCUAAUUUUUACAGUCGGUACAGAGCGACCAGCGGAAGUUCCUAGAACGGCUAGUAAAAAAAGAGUUCCAAUCGAGGGCUAUAGCGGAUAGCUGGAUUAGGC